AUGGUUCUUAAAGCUCAACAAAACGACCUGUUUAAAGGCUUGGCGGCUGAUUUGAUCCCCAAUGGGGCAGCCAUAUUACAAUAUGCGGAUGAUACGAUAUUAUGUUUUAAAGAUAAUCCUAGGAAUGCUCUUAACAUAAAAUUGUUGUUAUACCUGUUUGAAGUCAUGUCUGGUCUAAAAAUUAAUUUCAUGAAAAGUGAAAUAUUCUCUGUUUGUGCUGAUGAUGAAACUAUGAAGAUGUAUGCUAGAAUGUUUAACUGUCAAACUGGAUCGUUUCCUAUUAAAUACCGAGGAAUGCCCGUGAGCUUUGCUGGACUUAAAAGUAGUGACUGGCUUUUUGUCGACGACAAAUUUAUAAACCAAUGCGAAGCUUGGAUUGGUGAGGUUUUGUCUAUAGGGGGGAGGCUUAUAAAAAUUAAUGCCGCUCUUUCUCAUGUCCCAUCUUUUUACAUGUCUAUGUUUCUUUUGAAUAAAACCACUUUGGAAAAGUGGGAUAAACCUCGAAGAAAAUUCUUCUGCCAAAGUAAUGGCAAAAAAAGAGGAUAUCAUAUGGUGACGUUGAGCCGUGUAUGCAUGUCCAAAAAGACAGGGGGCCUCGGAGUGAAAGACCCGAGGAAACAGAAUAUAAGCCUGUUAGUGAAAUGGUGGUGGAAAUUAGAAAAAAAAGAGCCUGUGGCAAGAUAUUAUCAAAGCAAAAUACUUGAAAAGAUCCACUGUAGCUAUGGUGAGACAAAAAGCUAG
rnacentral:rRNA from 1 species